rnacentral:rRNA from 1 species
CGAUUGAGUUUGAUCAUGGCUCAGGAUGAACGCUGGCGGCGUGCCUAAUACAUGCAAGUCGAGCGCGAAGAUCAGGAGCUUGCUCCUGAGAUUCGAGCGGCGGACGGGUGAGUAACACGUAGGCAACCUACCCUUGAGAUUGGGAUAACUACCGGAAACGGUAGCUAAUACCGGAUACGACAUUCCUGCAUAAGUAAGAAUGUUAAAAGGCGGAUUUAUCUGCCGCUCAUGGAUGGGCCUGCGGUGCAUUAGCUAGUUGGUGAGAUAGUAGCUCACCAAGGCGACGAUGCAUAGCCGACCUGAGAGGGUGAUCGGCCACACUGGGACUGAGACACGGCCUAGACUCCUACGGGAGGCAGCAGUAGGGAAUCUUCCGCAAUGGACGCAAGUCUGACGGAGCAACGCCGCGUGAGUGAUGAAGGGCUUCGGCUCGUAAAACUCUGUUGUUAAGGAAGAACACUUGAGGUAGUAACUGGCCUUGAGAUGACGGUACUUAACCAGAAAGCCACGGCUAACUACGUGCCAGCAGCCGCGGUAAUACGCAGGUGGCAAGCGUUAUCCGGAAUUAUUGGGCGUAAAGCGCGCGUAGGCGGUAAAAUAAGUCUGAUGUGAAAGCCCCCGGCUCAACCGGGGAGGGUCAUUGGAAACUGUUUUACUUGAGUACAGAAGAGGAGAGUGGAAUUCCAUGUGUAGCGGUGAAAUGCGCAGAGAUAUGGAGGAACACCAGUGGCGAAGGCGGCUCUCUGGUCUGUAACUGACGCUGAGGUGCGAAAGCGUGGGGAUCAAACAGGAUUAGAUACCCUGUAGUCCACGCCGUAAACGAUGAGUGCUAAGUGUU